rnacentral:rRNA from 1 species
UACGAAGGGGGCUAGCGUUGUUCGGAGUUACUGGGCGUAAAGGGCGCGUAGGCGGCGCACCAAGUCAGGCGUGAAAGCCCUGGGCUCAACCCGGGAAUUGCGCUUGAGACUGGUGUGCUCGAGUACGGGAGAGGAUAGUGGAAUUCCCAGUGUAGAGGUGAAAUUCGUAGAUAUUGGGAAGAACACCGGUGGCGAAGGCGGCUACCUGGACCAGCACUGACACUGAGGCACGAAAGCGUGGGGAGCAAACAGG